CAUGAAGUCGGAAUUGCUAGUAAUCGCGGAUCAGCAUGCCGCGGUGAAUACGUUCCCGGGCCUUGUACACACCGCCCGUCACACCAUGGGAGCCGGUAAUACCCGAAGUCAGUAGUCCAACCUCGUGAGGACGCUGCCGAAGGUAGGAUUGGCGACUGGGGUGAAGUCGUAACAAGGUACC
rnacentral:rRNA from 1 species